rnacentral:rRNA from 1 species
GCACAAGCGGUGGAGCAUGUGGUUCAAUUCGACGCAACGCGAAGAACCUUACCUGGGCUCGAAGCGCAGUGGACCGGGGUAGAAAUAUCCCUUCCCCUUAAAAGGCUGCUGCGGAGGUGCUGCAUGGCUGUCGUCAGCUCGUGCCGUGAGGUGUUGGGUUAAGUCCCGCAACGAGCGCAACCCUCGUCGUGUGUUGGUCCGUAAGGAUCUCUCACGCGAGACCGCCGGUGAGAAGCCGGAGGAAGGUGGGGAUGACGUCAAGUCAGCAUGGCCCUUACGUCCCGGGCUACACACGUGCUACAAUGGGUAGGACAACGAGUCGCUAGCUAGUGAUAGUUUGCUAAUCUCUUAAACCUAUCCUCAGUUCGGAUUGAAGGCUGCAACUCGCCUUCAUGAAGUCGGAAUCGCUAGUAAACGCAGAUCAGCUACGCUGCGGUGAAUACGUUCCCGGGC